UGUAUUCACUACUGUAAGUCACUCUGGAUAAGAGCGUCUGCUACAUGACUAAAA
rfam:Salmo salar isolate Sally breed double haploid chromosome ssa22, whole genome shotgun sequence.